UCUGGGCGUAUUGGUUAUGGAGCACAUGAAAACUCCAUAGUGAAGCGCGCGUGGGUGGAAGUAGUGCCAGGAUGGGUAACCUCCUGGGAAGUCUUCAU
rnacentral:rRNA from 1 species